rnacentral:misc_RNA from 1 species
GAUGAAGAACGUAGCGAAAUGCGAUACGUAAUGUGAAUUGCAGAAUUCAGUGAAUCAUCGAAUCUUUGAACGCAUAUUGCGCUCUCUGGUAUUCCGGAGAGCAUGCUUGUUUGAGUAUCAGUAAACACCUCAACUUCCAUAUCUUUUUUGAAAUGGGAGUUGGACUUGAGUGAUCCCAACGCUUUUCCUCACCGAAAAGUGGCGGGUUACUUGAAAUGCAGGUGCAGCUGGACUUUUCUCUGAGCUAUAAGCAUAUCUAUUUAGUCUGCCUAAAAACAGAUUAUUACCUUUGCUGCAGCUAACAUAAAGGAGAUUAGUUCUUGUGCUGACUGAUGCAGGAUUCACAAAGACGGCUUCGGCCGACUUUGUAAACUCGAUCUCAAAUCAAGUAAGACUACCCGCUGAACUUAAGCAUAUCAAUAAGCGGAGGA